GGGUAGCGGAACACGUACGCAACCUCCCCAAAACUGGUGAAUAGCCCUCCGAAAGGAGGAUUAAUACACCGUAAGAUAACAGAGUGGCAUCACUUUAUUAUUAUAGCUCAGGCGGUUUUGGAUGGGCGUGCGCCUGAUUAGGUAGUUGGUGAGGGUAACGGCCCACCAAGCCUGCGAUCAGUAACUGGUGUGAGAGCACGACCAGUCACACGGGCACUGAGACACGGGCCCG
rnacentral:rRNA from 1 species